rnacentral:rRNA from 1 species
UACGGGGGGAGCAAGCGUUGUUCGGAUUUACUGGGCGUAAAGGGCGCGUAGGCGGCACUGCAAGUCAGUUGUGAAAUCUCCGGGCUUAACCCGGAAAGGUCAACUGAUACUGCAGGGCUAGAGUGCAGAAGGGGCAACUGGAAUUCUCGGUGUAGCGGUGAAAUGCGUAGAUAUCGAGAGGAACACCUGCGGCGAAGGCGGGUUGCUGGGCUGACACUGACGCUGAGGCGCGAAAGCCAGGGGAGCGAACGGG